UACAGAGGGUGCAAGCGUUAAUCGGAAUUACUGGGCGUAAAGGGUGCGUAGGUGGUUUGAUAAGUUGGGUGUGAAAGUCCUGGGCUUAACCUGGGGAUUGCGCUUAAUACUGUCGAGCUAGAGUACUGUAGAGGAAGGUGGAAUUUCCGGUGUAGCGGUGAAAUGCGUAGAUAUCGGAAGGAACAUCAGUGGCGAAGGCGACUUUCUGGACAGAUACUGACACUGAGGCACGAAAGCAUGGGGAGCAAACAGG
rnacentral:rRNA from 1 species